AGCGGUGCCGGCCGUAGUCGGCAGGAUUCGAACCUGCGCGGGGAGACCCCAAUGGAUUUCUAGUCCAUCGCCUUAACCACUCGGCCACGACUACGCAUGCUGAAGUGUGUUUUCCCGCCAUACUAGGUCUGUGUGCCCGGAUGCCGGCACUUCAGGCAGUCUCCUCAGAGCCGGGAGCUGCUGUUUAAUGUUGGAACCAGGACCAUGGUGGUUUGGAAUUUAGGUCUCAGUCGGUGGAGUGAAAUGUAUAAAACAGAGCUGAUGUAGGAAACUCGCAGGCAGCAUUGGUGUGGAUGGGAGGGUGGUACUGGGCUGCAUCUGGUUCUGGCCAGCCUUAGCUGGUUCUGGCCAGUUCCAACCAGCAUGCUGAGCUUAACGGCUGUGGCCCAGUUGUAACCAGGGUAAUUAGCAGCUUCCUAAUCGGUUCCUCCUCUGUCCUCACACACAAUACCCUCUCCUCCGGCCGCUGGCAGGAAGCUUGGUGCUUGCCCCCUCACCAGGACCAUCACAAUUUGCCUCUGAUGGAGUAGGACUCCAGACCCUCAUAGCUCGGAGCGAAGCCUCUCAGUUACACGGUGUUUUGCAAUUCUCCUGGCGUUCCUAGCAAUGAACUGUCAGGCCUGUUUGAAUUCCCUCCUACUUAAGCUUUUAUUUAUUUGUUCCAUUUUCCUCUUCACGCUUCUUGGGGCUCUUGGAUACCCUGGCUGGUGCAAUGGCAGUGCUGCUGGAGAUAUGUGGGGUUAGGGCAGCUGUGAGCUGGCCCCAGUUGAUGUGAUGGAAGAAACCAAAUAGCAUUGAUGCUGCUCCAGCUCUUUAAAGUGGUCCCUUGGUCCGAACUCGAUGUCAUGUAGGCAAAUUCAAUCCAGAAGAAGUGGAUUUUUGGGUGGAAUUUUUACAUUCAUCUCUCGCAGCUGUGGAGAGUUUAAACUAAUCACAAUUCUCCCUGGUAUGCUAUCAUCUCCGUAAUUUGAAAAAGGAUCAGGAGCCCACAGGCUUGGAAAAUGCUGAAGAAAUUCUUCUCCUGAAAUACAUCAUCACAUGUGGAAAAGACCACUUGCUGCAUCAUCGUAAAGGAGCUUAAGAAUGCUGAAAUCCAGUAUCAUUCUGGCAUUCUUUCAAAUGGCCUUAGAAAUCCGAGUACAUUCUCUUUUUACUGCAAAACAGCUUCUUUCCCUUUCCAUCAAUCCUGUGGCUGUCAAUGUGUCUGCUGUAAGGUGCCAAAAAUGUAUGGAGUGUCUAAGGGAUAACGGUGCCAAAGUUGGGGUGCCUGAAGGCCUUCUCCCAUGAACCCACUGCUACAUUUGCUCAGUUGGAAAGCAUUUGAAAGGAAAAAAAAAAAAGAAAAAAGAAGGCACAGACCUCACAGACCUUUAGAAUUCCUUAAACUACAGAGAUCGUUUCUGUGCAGAUUACUGCCUGCUGUUUAGAUCUUGUUGUUCAAAACUUGCCUGAUGCAAUCAAAGAGACUUACUGGGUCAAAUGAAUUCCAGACUAGUCACUGGAAUCACACUGAGGUGAAUCUGACAUACUGGGCCAUCAGCUAAGCUGUGGUCAGGAGGAAGGAGUGCAGGAGAAAGGAGCUGAGGUCACAUCCUGAAUUUUGCCCUCCUAGGAGAUGAGUGAACUAAUUUGUGCAAAUCAUGUCUUUUGCUGACAUUAUAUUAGUGCAAACAGAAUGGUUACUGACUACUGAGGGCUGGAAAUGUGUCUGUCCUGAAUACAGAAUGACCAUUCUGUCUGGCAAUGCUUUUUUUUUUUUUUUUUUAAGACUAUUGUGUAUCCUCAGGAGGAGAGGACUGGGAGGCUGGACGGGGUGGAAGCCAUCAUGCUUUCUAGUGCUCAAACCACUGCAGCCUUCUCAGCAGUGCUGAUAAAAAUGGCUUUUGCUGCCACAGUGAUAAGGACAAAAUAACUUCCUAGGGCAGGAUGUCAAUUUGCCUGCCCUGUUUUCUCUGGGAUCCAAACACAGCCUUAAUUGGAGUUGAGCAGAACUUUCCUCAGCUCUCUCCUCUGAAUGACAAACUCUCUAGGGCUCAGACAAUGAUGAAGCCUGACGAAGUUGUAAUUUCUUCUGUUCCUCCAAACUGCUGCCAGCCAGGAGGGAAAGGAAUGCAGGGAGGCUUUCUUGCUGUGGUGAUAACAUGGCUGCAGCCUUUUCUGCAUUGUCAUCUCUUGCCCCAGGGGAUGGGAAGGAGGUAGGAGCACAGCAGCUGUCUGUCACCAAGGUACUAUGCUACCUGUAGCAAAUGUGAAUGGGUCAAACCUCAUUUUACAACCAGUUCAACUUCUUGCUUCCAGUCACAGGAUAUUGUUCCAGUGCUGUUCCUGGUCACGUCCCAGUAUAUCAUUUUGAGUGACACUACACUUAUUUUCCAGUAGUGGUACAGUGCGUUGACAUGAGUAAAUCCAGGCCGCAUUUAGAUUCUUGGCCAUAAUUUAAUCACUAGCAAGCAUUUCUGUGGAUGAAACUAUUCUCUGUAAAGAUAUCAGAUACGGAGACGUCUUGAAAGACUGCUUGGCAGAAGAAAUAGCAAAGUGUGCAAGAUUCCUUAUGUAAUGUUACUCGCUUAUUAUGUUGAGAGACAGCCUUGGACCAGAAAGCAACUUAAGCUGGAGGCCAAUUUGGUCUUGGACUUCACUGCUGAUCCUUCCAUCAAAGAUGCCAGCUCAGAGGGGUUAGGAUGUGAGCACCCACCACCUGAUACCUGGGUUAUCCAGUUCUCUUGCAUAGGAAGACUUUCCUGAGGAGAGCAGAUUUCAGAUUGCCUCUUCUCUCUUAUCACAUGUUGAAGACACUGGCAGGAAUUGACUUCAUGGCUCUGAGGACCAGAGAAAUGUGGGGAGGAAACAGGUUUGCUCCUGCUCUGCUGCUUUAACGUGGGAUUGCAUCUGGAGAACAGACUGCCAUCUUAGAGAAGAAAGGAUGCAUUUCCAGCUUCAAGCAACUUCCAUUAGCUUUAUCAAAGUCUUCUUGUGGUUGAGUGCCACAGAAUCAGGCUACGUUAAUCUCAUCUUUUUCAUGUGAUCUUUAUGUUUGGGAGAACAUACUGGCCUUCUGGGAAAAGGACGGGUUCUGCCUGCUGGACCCAGAGGAAAUAUAUAACACCAGAAGCAGAGAAGAGAGCAAGUGCGUUCACUUGGACUACAGGCAAAUUUACCUUCUCAGUUCUUCUUCAGAUGGAUUCUGCUCUCCACCACAAGGCUCCAUCCUGAAGGCAAAGUAUUUCCUUUCACCUCUCUGUUGCUUGAUCUGUGGUAAAUAUGAGAGCUCUUGUCAGUUGCUGGGCUCCUCAAAUGAGUGGCGUCUGAGUGCUCUGCAACAUGGUCGAGCCUCUGUCAGGCAGCAGCAUGGCCAACCUAGUGUUUUCAUGGAGGAAAAUAAAGGAACCAGUUCUCUAAGCCAUGACAGCAGCAUGCUUCUGGCAUUGGAAUAGAAUGAGCUGCAUCUGUUUAAACCACCUGUGGUUCUAGCCCAUAAUUUUCAGGCUCACAGCAUCCUGUCACAGCGAAACGCUCUGAAGAUGAUUCAGAUGUACUGUCAGACCGAAUUUGGCCCAGUGACUGUAACCAAAGUCAGAAUGUUUAUUACCAGUCAAUUUGUACACAUGCCUGUGGCUCUUAUUCUUGGAAACGACCUCCCCAGCUGACUGUGAAAUGCUGCUAUUUCUGGUGCAAAAAGUACAUUUUUCCUGUGCUAGACCAACUCAUCUUGGAAGCACCAUUUAGUUAAUGUAGCUGUUUGCUGAAUGUCCUUCCCUUGUGUGCAGGAACUUCUGAUAAGUACUACAGUUUAUGGCACCUGCAUCCUUUUUAUUAUAAAUGUAGGACAGGGAAACAAAUGCAGCCUGCUGCAAGUGAGGGAAAUGCUGCUGCUGUAGCAGGAAAAAUCCCUGUUGUAUGACAGCCUUGUUCUUCUCUUGCAGAAUGAAGACAGGGAGCUGGUUUCAUGAUAUUAUUUGAAACCAGCAUGAAGAGGGCCAUAACCAGUCUGCAAUCUCCAGACAUUCUAGUGGGAGAUUUUUAAGGCUAUUUGAGCAUUUUGAGCUACAUUGUUUCCCCCUGAGCAGAAAAAUUCUUCCCUGCCAUUCUGCACCUUCUAUUGAUCAUGGUUCAGGGAUCAAAGUAAAGUGCAUUUUGUGAGAAGCAAAGGUUAAAGUCAUUCGCAAAGUUUCAGCUGGGAGUUCAGGGGCAAGCGUUUGGGCAGCAAACACAGGCUGGAGCCCUCACUGUCCUGCUGCCUGCCACCCAUGGCAGCUGUUCUGAAAUCUUGUUGCUUCUGCAGGGACUUCUUGGUGCAUAAAGAGAUAGCAUAGGCUCUCCAAAACGUGGGAGAAGUCACCAGCCUUGUCUUGGGCUCACAGACCCAUUUAUCCAUAUGGUAUUUCUCACACAUUCACAAAUGAAGUGCUUAUCCCUCACCCCUGCUUGUUCGUGGCAGGAGGACUUUGCCCCUCGGGUUUAAUUAAGCACCAAAAGUCAGGGUUGUAUUUAUUGAUAAGCCUUUCCAGGGUACCUGUCACUGCAGUAUCUGAGGCCACUCAAGCCGUGACCCUGCCACAUUCCUUGGGAGGUGGGGAAGGUUCUGAGGGGUUUACGGCUGUGUCUGGAGCUCACCCCACACUUGCUGGGCUGUGCUGGGUGCCCUGCUGGGAGCUGAUACCCUGCUCACAGGCUGGGGUGGUUAUAAUGUUGGGCUCUCUACGAUAUGAGGCACUGUACUUGGAAAAUAGUCUGGGGAGACAGUGGAAGAGGAUGAGGCAGAAGCUACUCAUCCCUUUAGCACAUGCACAGUAAUUGGUAUGGAAGCUUAUGCACCUGAAUCUACCUGGGACAGAGAAUAAAAAUGAAAACAGUGCUAUUCUUUUAUUUAUAUAUAUUUUUUUGCAAGACUACUACCAGUAUUUUAAAAAGCUUUAAUAAAAGCAAGAUCCUGAAAAUGUCACAUGAAGUUCAAAUCUCAAACUUGCACCUUUUCUGAGGUUUCCCAUUUCUGACAACAGCAAAAAAUUUGCAGCUUAGGGAAACUCCCAUGAGUGGAAAUAUUAUUUAUGGCUUCACAUUUUUUUCCUGUCACAGUACCAUACUACAUGCCUUGAAAUUAAUUGAAAAAUAAUAAUAACAAAAAAUUAGAACUUUUCACCUCUGCGCGUACCUUUUUCUUUUCCCUUACUGCUGCUGAAUAUGGAAUGGGGAAGCAGGUGUCAUAAAUCCACAAAAUAAUUAUUCCCCAUUUGCUGUAUUACAUUUUAUUUAUAUUCCCUGGCUGUUAUUUUAUGUUAAAUCUGCAACUCUUCUUGUUAGGUUUUAACUUCCACCCUAGCGAGUGAACACAUAGCACAUAACCUCUGUUGCCACAGAGAUUUCUUUUCCAAAGCUUAAUUACUCUCUGGUUAUGUUCAUGAGAGCUUUAAAUAUUUCUGAGGGGCUGUGGUAACUGUAAAUUUUUGCCACUGAUUAGAAGUAACCGGUCUAUCAGGCACAAAAUCAUCAGAUGUUUUGCCAUUAAAGGUUGACUUUCAUAUAAAAACUAUUGAGAUUUUGGCUUUUUAGGCAACCUGCCCCUUUCUGUCAGGUCCUUGGAGGCACAGUGUUCUCCUCAGAUUGGAGUGUUUGCAAGGAGUGUAGUGCUGGUCUAUGACACAGUCUGAUGUUUCUCACUACUGCAGUGAUGAGAACCUGUUCUCUGUGAUGUCCUAGCUGCCUAUAGGACUUAAAGAAGGAUGCUACCACUAGAAGAAGCAAGUAGCUGGGAGAGUUGUAUAGAAUUAAAGCAUCAUUAAGGUUGGAAAAGACCAUUAAGUUCAUCUAGUCCAACCAUUGACCAAUCCCCGCCAUGCCCACUAACCUCAGUGCCACAUCCACCCUUUUCUUGAACACCUCCAGGGACGGUGAAUCCACCACCUCCUUAGGUAACCAGUUCCAGUUCCAAUGCAUCACUACUCUUUCUGAGGUGAAAUUUUUCCUAACAUCCAACCUGAACCUCCCAUGGUGCAACUUAAGGCCAUUAC